UACGUAGGGGGCAAGCGUUGUCCGGAAUCACUGGGCGUAAAGCGUGCGUAGGCGGUUUUUUGGGUCUGGGGUGAAAGUUCAGGGCUCAACCUUGAGAAUGCCUUGGAAACUAGAAGACUUGAGUGCUGGAGAGGCAAGGGGAAUUCCACGUGUAGCGGUGAAAUGCGUAGAGAUGUGGAGGAAUACCAGUGGCGAAGGCGCCUUGCUGGACAGUGACUGACGCUGAGGCACGAAAGCGUGGGGAGCAAACAGG
rnacentral:rRNA from 2 species